UACGAAGGGGGGCUAGCGUUGUUCGGAAUCACUGGGCGUAAAGGGCGCGUAGGCGGCUUUAUAAGUCGGGGGUGAAAGCCUGUGGCUCAACCACAGAAUUGCCUUCGAUACUGUAGAGCUUGAGACCGGAAGAGGUAAGUGGAACUGCGAGUGUAGGAGGUAGAAAUUCGUAGAUAUUCGUAAGAACACCAGUGGCGAAGGCGGCUUACUGGUCCG
rnacentral:rRNA from 1 species